rnacentral:rRNA from 1 species
CCUUGCCAGCCCGCUCAGACACUUAAAGGAAUUGACGGGGCCCGCACAAGCAGCGGAGCAUGUGGUUUAAUUCGAAGCAACGCGAAGAACCUUACCUAGACUUGACAUCUCCUGAAUUACCCGUAACUGGGGAAGCUCUUCGGAGCAGGAAGACAGGUGGUGCAUGGUUGUCGUCAGCUCGUGUCGUGAGAUGUUGGGUUAAGUCCCGCAACGAGCGCAACCCUUUAUCGUUAGUUGCUACCAUUAAGUUGAGCACUCUAGCGAGACUGCCCGGGUUAACCGGGAGGAAGGUGGGGAUGACGUCAAAUCAUCAUGCCCCUUAUGUCUAGGGCUACACACGUGCUACAAUGGUGAGGACAAAGAGACGCAAGACCGCGAGGUGGAGCAAAUCUCACAAACCUCAUCCCAGUUCGGAUUGCAGGCUGAAACUCGCCUGCAUGAAGCCGGAGUUGCUAGUAAUCGCGAGUCAGCAUGUCGCGGUGAAUACGUUCCCGGGCCUU